CUGGUCGAGUCGGCCUGCGCGGAAGAUGUAACGGGGCUAAACCAUGCACCGAAGCUGCGGCAGCGACACUGUGUGUUGUUGGGUAGGGGAGCGUUCUGUAAGCCUGCGAAGGUGGCCUGUGAGGGUUGCUGGAGGUAUCAGAAGUGCGAAUGCUGACAUAAGUAACGAUAAAGCGGGUGAAAAGCCCGCUCGCCGGAAGACCAAGGGUUCCUGUCCAACGUUAAUCGGGGCA
rnacentral:rRNA from 1 species